rnacentral:rRNA from 1 species
UACGUAGGGGGCAAGCGUUGUCCGGAUUUAUUGGGCGUAAAGAGCGUGUAGGCGGCCAGACAGGUCAGCUGUGAAAACUCGAGGCUCAACCUCGAGACGUCGGUUGAAACCGUCUGGCUAGAGUCCGGAAGAGGAGAGUGGAAUUCCCGGUGUAGCGGUGAAAUGCGCAGAUAUCAGGAGGAACACCGAUGGCGAAGGCAGGUCUCUGGGCAUUAACUGACGCUGAGGAGCGAAAGCAUGGGGAGCGAACAGG